rnacentral:rRNA from 1 species
ACGCACGCUGGCGGCGUGCUUAACACCUGCAAGUCGAACGGAAAGGCCUGUCCUUCCUUGUGUUGGACGGGUACUCGAGUGGCGAACGGGUGAGUAACACGUGAGUGAUCUGCCCCCAACUUGGGUAUAAGCCUGGGAAACUGGGUCUAAUUCCCGAUAGGACUGCAGGGUGGUGCCUGUGGUGGAAAACGAUUUUCUAGUGGUUGGGGAUGAGCUCGCGGCCUAUCAGCUUGUUGGUGGGGUAAUGGCCUACCAAGGCGGCGACGGGUAGCCGGCCUGAGAGGGUGGACGGCCACAUUGGGACUGAGAUACGGCCCAGACUCCUACGGGAGGCAGCAGUGGGGAAUAUUGCACAAUGGGCGGAAGCCUGAUGCAGCGACGCCGCGUGGGGGAUGACGGCCUUCGGGUUGUAAACUCCUUUCGACCGCGAGGAAGCCGCCUGGUUGGAAGGGUGGUGACGGUAGUGGUAGAAGAAGCACCGGCUAACUACGUG